ACGGGGCCCAAUGAGGGAGGAGGCGGUGCUGCCGGGCUCUCGGAAGUCCCUGGGCCGCUAUAGCCGCGCUGUCACAGCCGCGCCGGCGGGGUGCCCGUCGUCUGGCCUCUCGCUUGCCCUUUCUUUCCUGGACGUCAGCCUCCCUAGGUGUAUCAGCGCUGUUUCCAAGGGGUGUGUGAUUUGAGAAUCUCCAUUUGGUCUGUGAGCCUGUCUGUUCUGUGACUUCUGGGAUAGCGUGGCUGCCCCACCAUUGCAUCAAGGUCACUGUAUCUCUAUGUAUUACAAAAAAUGUUGAGUUAAAAACUUGUCAAGGCACCCAGAGAAAACCCUGUAAAGCUGCUUGUGGCUGGAGACAACUGCCCUGCCCUGGAGGUCCUACCCCACCGUCCUAGAGCUGAGGAGGGUGCUGUCUCCUACACACCUGACAGCAACCCGACUGGAAAGCUCUGAAUUAUGCUUUGGAAUUUUUCAAAAGAAAGAGCCUUUUUCAAGUUUCUAGAGGAAAUACUUGUGACCCAUCUAUGGGCAAUGUGCCAAAAACCAGGGAUCCUGUGAAGAGCAAAAAUGACAAGAUCCCUGCUCUAGUGGAGCUUACCUUCUGUAGUGUGGAGUCAGAGAAGAAACACAGUCAAAGACCAAGAUCAUUUCAGAUAGUGGUAGCUACUGUGAAGGAAAGAGAAACAUCUUAAGGUAUAGACAGUGAUGUAGGGGGGAGAUUUGGUGGUAAGUGUUUUAGGUAGGGAAUGGAGAGACAUAUUUGGGGGGGUGAUAUUUGAUUGAGGUCUAAGAGUUGAGCUAGUCCUGUGAAGACCCAGAGGAGGGGCAUUCUUAGAAGAGAGCAGCAAGUGCAAGAGGCCUGGAAUGGCAGUGAACUUGAAACACUUGGGGGGCAAAACCAACAGCAACAACAGCAAUAUAAACACACUGUGGCCAAAGAAAGUAAACAAAGGACAAACAGUCUAAGACAAAGUCAGCAGGGUAGGCCACACAAAAACAUUUUCAUUCGAUUGCAAAGAGAAUUUAAAGGGAAGACUGAAGUAGGGACAACUGUGAUCUGGAGAAGAUUCAGGAAAAGCCAGAAUCCCUUAAAUCAGCAUUGUUCUAUGCAUAUGUGGAGAAAAGAGGGCAUGUCUGGGGCAUAGAGCCCCAAUAAUAGUAAAGACAAGAGCUAAAACCUGGCUGACAGCCAACAUCAGCAAGCUGCAGUUUAGAAACGUGCCCCAGAAAAAAGGCAGAGCCCCUGGUGCUGCUGCUGGCAGCAGGUAAGGAAGCCCAGCGAUCAACCCAAAUUAUAAUGCUGUUGUUGCCACAGUUACUAUUUGAAAUCUAGAGGAAAAUGGAGGUGAUUACCGCAGAUAUCUUCAUUAAAAAAGGAAAAGAAAAAGCUACAUAGGUAAAAUUCACUGGGCUAAGUGUUUGAUAUUUUUAAUAAAGUAAAAAAAGUUAAAACUCCUAUAUGAGAACCCAAAAACGUAUCAGUGCAUAAUUUAGACCUUAGAGGUAAUAUUUCAUUUGUUUUAUGUUUCAAAGGCUUAACAACACUUCAGUUUGGUCUAAAUUGCUUUGUCUACCAAUUUAAAAGGCAAAGAAAGUUCACUUCUUUCCCAAAGAAGCUGAGAUUUUAAUUAAGUACACAUUAUUUACUGGACUUCAGGGCCCCAAAUGCACACUGGGUGAGGUUUUUUUUUAAAGGUUAGCAUGUUCUCAAGAGUCUAUAACAACUUCUGACCAGUUCUGCUCCAGUCUGGAUUGUGAAACUGCUCCUUGACACACACUUUAGUAGGGAAAAAACUGUUAGCCCUCUACUAAUAUUGAACAAACAUUGAGGGGGAAAAAAAUGGAACAAAAAACAUACCAUCCGUUGAGUGGCAUGAAGUAGCCAACACAGCGUUUUUCGUAUCCCUGCACAGCAUCCCUAUGAGGUGGCAUCGUUACCCACAGAUGCAACUAGAGGAACUAGUGAACGUCAGAGCUGUUAAAUGGCUGAGGGCAAUUUGACAUCAUGUCCAUAGGCUGACCAUGCAUGUGCAGUACACCAGACAAUAUAAUAUACCCUUAUUUAAAUGUAGCAGGGACAACACAAAGAAUAAUUUCAUUUACUAACGUUAAGAAAAAUUUAGUAAAUUCAGCUUAUGCGUGGUCACCUUAAUUGUAACACCCCCUUUUUCCAAUGGAAAAGGUAACUGUUAGAAACUUGCCAAGGAUACAGGUUACCCUUCAAAGAGUGUUUGUGAUGGAGGAGGCCUGGGGAAAGGAGGGAGAAUAAAAUAAUUUGCAGUAUCUAUAUCCUGCAUCAAAGCCUUGGAAGCAUUAUCCAUCUAAGGUUGAGGAAAGGGAAUUUCCUCUAAUUCCUUUGGCCUAUUAUUAUUCAGGAAUUCACACAGAAGCCUAUGCUGGGCACCUUAAAAAUUUCAGAAACAAACCAUCUUUGCUUUUCCUUUCUUACCAGCAAAAUAAGCACUCAAUUGUGGGAGCUCUUGCAGGUCACAUUUAUAUUUAUGGAUCAGUAUUUUCCAUUGGCAGAAGACUGUUAUGCUUGCUUUUAAGUGUCAACCACUUGAGACCAGAGAGCCUAGUGUUUCCCCAGCUCCUGGGCCGGCUGAGUCUGCCUGUGACUGAACCUGUGGCUUUACUUGAACCAUGUCCAAAACCUUUACCUGUCCUCCCUCUUUCUCAGACGACAGUCUAGUGGCCUAGUCUGCAGCCAAGUCCAGUUGAAAGUAGUAGAGAAAAGCCGGGGUUCUUUUCGCCUCUCCUCACCUGAGCUUUGGAGUUUCUGUUUUGUACUUGUACUUCAGUAAUAAUAAUUUUAAUAAUGAUAUUAACAGCCAUCAUUACCCAGAACUCACUGUAUGCCAGGAACUAUGCUGUUAUUGUGUUAUUUUAUUUAAUCAUCAAACAACGAUUACCCCUGAGGCAGGUAUUAGGUAUUGCUCAUUUUAUGCAUGAGUAAACUGAGCUGAAAGAAGUCAGCAUCCUGCCUGACAUCAUCCAUGUGGUAAGGAGCAGGGUCAGUGUUUGAAUACAGACAACAGCUUAACCCUUAACAAUUGCAUCACAUAAUGUAAUUCAGCAUAAUAAAUACAAAAUAUCUCUGUUAAUGGCUAGUAGUUUUCAAAUAACUAUUUUUAUUAUUUUCAAUAAAAGUUUAUGAACUAAAUACUUCUCACUUGCUCUUUAAUUAAUACUCUUUUGAUCCCUCUCUCUCUCUCAAAAAAAAAGAGCCGAGUCCCAAGUAAGUGCUUUACAAAAAUUAUCUACUUAAUUCUCAUAACAAUUUUAGAAGGCUUAGAGGAAUUAUGUAACCUAAAUUGGUAGUAAGCUGCUGAGAUGGAUUUGAACCCAAGCUAUCUGAGCCCAGAGCCUGUGUUGGCAAUUGCCAAAUUAUGCCAUUAAAACUCUCCUAUGUGAUAAACUCAUAGCCAGGUGUUCAGCUGAGUGGCAAGUGGUGGUCUUUCAUUCUGUUUAGUUUUCCAGCUUUUCAAUAGGCCAGAUGUGUAUAUUUCAGCUGGUGCUCAAGUCUGAAAACCUACCUGGUAAACUCAGAUACCAGAACAAAAUUCAUGUCCUUCAAAUCUACAUUUCUGAAUUGUAUGGCUGCAUGGCUGCAAUUCACUAAAACCUGAUUCUGGCCUUCAGUUUGGUAUAGCUUUAUGAGUUAAUGGAGCUGGCUAAGAUCUUCGUCUUCGCCUUUGACAAAUGGCAAUGUCUUUGCCUUUGAAUUGCAUAUCUGCACUGAAAUUUAUAGUAGAAGAUAACAAUUAGGAUAAUUCAGUUGAAAAGAAAACAUUUUCUGUUGUAGAAUGUGGUUAAAGGCCUGUCUAGGGAUUGCGUCUUCAUCCUAAUCACCUGUAUAGAUUUAGGCAAGUUGAUUCAACUCCCUAAGCCUCAGUUUUCUUUGCUUUUUUUCCAAGGAGAUAAGGAUGCCUAUAUUAUAGAAUUUGGGGAGGAUUAAUGAAUAUGUGUUAAAUGAACGAUUGGUCAUGUGGUUUUUGCAGGAACUUGACCAUAAUAAGCGUUCAGUUAGUGUCAGCUCUAGUUAUUUAACCUGCACUCUUGAGACAGUUGCUUUGACUCUUCACCUGACUAUAAAUUUUAUGCUGCUAAAGCAAGCUUUGAAUAUGAGCUAGGGUUCAACAGGCAGACACAUCUGAAGGAAGAAGGAUGCAUUUUUAAAUCUAGUAAAUAUAUUUUAUUGUUUAUAAUUCUUUAUGGUUUUCUCCUUACUAGUUCAUCUGAAGUCUGAUUUGGCAUUUACAACAUCCCUCAGUUUGGAAUGAACCAUGGUAGAUAUUAGUGAGGGAUACAAAAAGAGAAAACAACUUGGCUCUAUUACUUGCAAAUAAAAAGCAAGCAGUCAAAAAAUUUUCAACCCCUUUGAAGUUACCUAGGUUUAUGAUUAAUCAAAUGUAGAGAAUGAGAGUUUCUCUUUGAAAUAUACUAGCAUUGUUUAAUAUCAUCUCUUCUCUUUUAAAUAUAGCAGUUUUGUUAAUAACAUCUCUUUUUUCAACUUCAUAACUUCCCAAAAUAUCAGAUCCACUUAUUUGUUUUUCCUGAACAUGGCAUAUGUUCAUUUUGCUGAUUUAAAUACAAUUGUUUAUUUUGCAUUCAGAAUUGUUUGUAAGAUUGUUUAAUAUCCUGCAACUCCAUGAGCCCUGUAGGCCAGUGAAGCUAGAUAAAAAACAGUGAAAUCUCAGCAGUCUCCUGUAUUUGCAAGAGAAAUAUAGUGUGGUUGUAUGAGUUCUCUGAUUGACUUUGCAUUUGUGUAACUUACUCUGACCACCAAAAGCACUUUUUAAAAAAUUGUUGGUGUUGCUCCAAAUUCAUCUCCAGACGCUUGCAAAUUGUGUAGGUUACAAGCCCUCUAAAAUUGUUAAUACAAUCAUUUUCUGAGAGACUUAAAAAGAAAAUGUAACGAGAAAAUGCGUUAUUUGUAGCAAAACAAAAUAUUCUAAAUAAAGUUAGUUUUCUUUGUUUUUAUUAACAUUUCCCAUAAAAUUCCAUUAAAUCUGCAGGAGAAAAAUCCUCUGCAUUCCACUGCGUUCUGUGCAUUUAACUCAAGCCAGCUAUCUCAAAAAGUCAAAGAACAAGACUGAGUCUGCUCAUAAUGUGAAGUGGGAGAUGCAGUUGUGGCGAAAUUAAGACACUUUUGCUUACAGCUGAUGCUAUGUUUCAUGUAAAGUGAUUGUUUAAUUGACAAUGAACUCUCAAGAUGUUUGGCAUUUGGAAAAUACAUACAGCCACACUACAAGGGCUCUAUCUAGAUAUAAUGUCUUGUUAUUUGCUGGCAGUCUGAAGAUGAAGCCAACACUAAGGUGGCCAAGCAGAGACAUAAAGAGCCUGGGACCUCAAUGGCAUAGUAAGGCACUGAAGCAAUC